UACGGGGGGGGCAAGCGUUGUUCGGAAUUACUGGGCGUAAAGGGCUCGUAGGCGGCCAACUAAGUCAGACGUGAAAUCCCUCGGCUUAACCGGGGAACUGCGUCUGAUACUGGAUGGCUUGAGUUUGGGAGAGGGAUGCGGAAUUCCAGGUGUAGCGGUGAAAUGCGCAGAUAUCAGGAGGAACACCGGUGGCGAAGGCGGGUCUCUGGGCAAUAACUGACGCUGAGGAGCGAAAGCGUGGGGAGCGAACAGG
rnacentral:rRNA from 1 species